CCCUGUUAUUCUAUAUAUUAUAUAAUAUUUCAAAAAAAAACCCCUGUUAUUCUAUAUAUUAUAUAAUAUUUCAAAAAAAAACAAUAUAAUAAAUUUGACGGUAUUAACUUUUACAAAGGAAUUUGUUUCUGAAUCGAAAAUACACGACAUACCUCACUUAAUUAAUAUUUGUAUACCUCCGUAUACAGUAAUUAUAAAAAAUUAAUUACAAAAAAAAUAUUUUUAAAACAUCAGGUCAAGGUGCAAUAUAAUUAAGAUGAAAUGAAUUACAGUAUUUUAUUUAUACACAUAAAAAUUGAAAUAAUUUUUAAAAUUAGAAUUUGUUAGUAAAAAAUAAUCAUUAUGUUUUUUUGAAAACUAACAUUAAUAUGUACAUAUCGCCCG
rnacentral:rRNA from 1 species